AUGCGGCGGUGUCGGGGCGCGGGGCUGGCGGCGCUGGCCGCGCUGCUGCUCGCGGCUUCAGGCAGAGCCCAGGUGCAUCAGGAGCCAUUCCUGGAGACCACCGAGGGCACCGGAAUCAACAUCAGCUGCUCACACCCCAAGAAACAGAUUGAGGAUUUAAUUCAUUUCUAUCGUCAGUUCCCUGGCCAAAGCCCCAGAUUCCUGGCACUCACUACUAGAGGAUCCAAGGAUGUUCCGGCCAUCGCAGGAAAGCUGUGGGUAUCGGCAGAUCGGAGCUUUAGCGCGCUGUGGCUCGGGCGGUCCCGGCGCGGGGACGCGGCCGUGUAUUACUGCGCGCUGGGCCACGGGCAGAGGAGCCGGGGCUGCGGCCGGCGGCGGCGCACGGCUCUGAUCUGGGGCGGAGCUGGGGGCGGCGGAGAGAAAAGAAGAAAACUGGAGUGGAGUAUUGGCAGAGGAGGCGGCAGGGCCGCAGCAGAGAGCCGGGGCUGA